rnacentral:misc_RNA from 1 species
AACCAUAGAAACCUGCGGAGUACCUGCGGAAGGAUCAUCAUUGAAAUCCAUUCUCUACAAACCCUUGUGAAUAUGGCUGCCGGGAUGCGCGUCCGUCAGGACGUCGCUCACGGACAGCCGGAAUCAAUUUUGUUUGGCUUUGGCGGGUCAGUGUACGUAUACGGUCCGGUUGCGGCCGUGUACUGCUUCCCGCCACCGUCAAACACCUCGAGAAAAAACACCAUCAUGAAACGACAUUAA